UCUCAUCUUUGCGCGCAGGCGAGAGCUCUUCCUCGCUUUCCUCGGCCUCUCCCAGCACCCCGGUCGCCGGUCGGCGUCCAUGGCCGCUGGACGCGGCAUCAGGGGUGGACGGUAUUUGGUUUACCGACCUGGUGGACGGUAUUUCAAUUACCGUCCACCCCUGGGGUGUCUGGCGCCGUCCGAUCCAUAACGCUCGGUAGGGAUUACAAGCAUGCCUGACUCGAUACGGAGGAAAUGAACUGUGAAGCCGCGCCAUGGCCAUCACCGCCUCGGCAGAAGAGGCCAUGCCAGCCUAUCCUAAGCUCCCGCACCCCAUCGCUGCCGCGCGUUCUAGCCGGGGUCGUCGACACCCCAUCGCAAAGAGGUCAAGCUUCCCGGUGCUCCCCACUGCCGGGCGCCGUUGUCGCCGCGUCCGGAGUCGACACCGACCUGCUGGGGCUUCUGGCCGCGCAAGGUGCCACCACCUUCGGCUUCACCAUGCUAAGCACCAGAUGCAGAUGCACAGGCGCGCGGGGGGUGUGCCUGGCAGGCGCACGGCCGAGCGGCGCUUUUAGCGCGGCGCUUGGUGCUGCAGCCGCCGCCGGCGGUAAGCGCUCUCGUCUUUGCAGGCAGACGUUGCUCUUCCCCGCCCCUCCCAGCGUCCAUGGUGGCUGGACGCCGGGACCGGGGGUGGACGGUAUUUGCUCUACCGUCCACCCCAAGGUACCUAGGACCGUCCGAUGCAUAACCCACGGUGGAGAUUUGAAUCAGGCCAGACUAGAUACGGAGGAGACGAACCGUACUGCCGUGCCAUGGCCGCGCGCCGCCGCUGACAUCGCCGAAGGAACAGCCGCAGCCACCCGCCGCCGUGAAUCAGGCUUUCACGGCCGGGGGACGGAUCACCGUGACUCUCGAGAAUCAUGAUCACGAGACGCAAAUUCUUCACGCCGUGCCCCGGCGUGCCGGCCAUUGGGAAGCUUGGAUCAUGCCGUCACGGCGACCAAGCAGGCGUCCGCCACUCGGGCACUCGGCUGCAGAUGAUUCACGGCUGCGCACGCGCGUGCAAGGAGAAGGAGCGGACGACUAACUGCUAUCGCAUGCAGUUGGCCAGUUGCUGUGCUGCCGGGGCGCGCGGCGUGCGUGGCGAGGCACUUCGAACAACAUGCCAGCGGCGCAACCGUCCACCCAGCCCAUCGUCGUAACCACCUGACGCGGACGCUGCGUUCCCGCAUGCGGCGGCACGACUCGGAGACACGCCGUGCUCGCCGACGCAGGCGCGCCUGGCGGCCCAAAGACGAGAGCGCGCGCCUUCGUUCCCACGCCGCGGCGCGCGGCGGAGCAACCUUUCCGGCACGCCGUGUCUCUUGCGGUCGUGCCGCCGGUUGCGGCAGAGGCGGCGUGCCAGGAUUCUCUUCGUCAAGCAGGGUGCGCCGUGGUUCCUAGCUUCGCGCCGCCAACUCCCGGCUCGCCGGCGGGUGACGUUUGGCCGCCGUGGACCGCGGCCAGGGGUGGUCGUUAUUUCGCCCACCGACCGGGUGGACGGUAUUCCAUUUACCGUCCACCCCUGGGAUGCCUGUUAGCCGUUAGAUUGACAUUCCACGGUCUUGAUUGAGAAAGGGGGCUAACACGCGCAGUGACAAGAACACAAGCGCACCUGUCCCGGACUCUCCGCCAUGUCUUCCGCCCUGCUUCGCCGAUCUCGCCGCCACCGCCGCUCUCCGGCGAGUUCCCGAUCUUGGAUGCGCCUGUGUUCGUUGACGCCGACGGUCGCUGAUGCUUCCGUCCAGUGCGGCAGUACCCGCGGCGAGCCGGCGAAGGCAGCACCACGAAGCUGUUUUGUGCGGCGUCCCACGACACCACGCCAUCCGCGCAGCGUCCGCGUGCCGGCUUGCUAAUCGCAGCGCACGGCGGCAUGGCUGCUGCGAGCCGGUGGCACCCGUAGGCCUACCUCGCGCAGUCGUGCACACCCGCUGCCGGCUCGGCCCGUGGACCGUGGUAGUGGCCGGGGCCAUCGGCCGGUUACCGAGGCGAGGCUCUCAUCGUCGAGGACAUGUGGAUGUGGUGCUCCUCGUCCCCUCUGCCCUCGCCGCCUCCCGGGUGCGGCGGUGCCCUUCGCCGUCCAGAGCGCGUGUGGCAGACAUGUUGGGCGCCAUGGCGGCCACGGCAAACCGGCAUGGCGAGCAACUGGGACUCUGUUUGUAUGUUGGUGAGAGAAGAGCGUAUGUUUGCUGGCGAACAACAGUUUCAGAACGUAGCUAGUACAGUCUGUCCAUGUGGAAACACGCUUUCUCUGAAUCAGUCUCUAAUUGUAGCUGCCAUACACUCAUGGCUUUGCAUUGCUAGUAUGUGCUAGAGCUACACAGCAACAUAGCAUAGUUCCAUUCUUCAUGCUGUUUUGAUGGCGUUGGUCAUCACUCACUCCCCAUUUUCAGUUAUGUAGAGUAUUUGUCUGUCUGUCCGUACACCGAGUAUUGAAUCAGUGUGCAAGGUCUGUUUUUUGCUCAUGCAGUUUCUUAUGAUCAUUCCAAAAGAUAGCGUUGCUCAUUUCUUGCUCCAUUUUUAUCAUGCAAAACCGUGCAUGACACUUCGAUCUUGCAUGGCUCCACAUACUACUCAUGAGUUAUACGAAUCGCAAGCAUGUUUUUUGUGUUGCAUGUUCUAACAGAAAUUUAACCCUCAGCUACAGCAUACUUUCUGUACUGCUUGUUCAACUGAAAUUUAGCCUCGGCUAACUGAAUCUCUCCACACUCUUCUUGGUUUUAUUUAGUGAAAAAACGCAUGCUCUUCUCAUCCAGUUCCCAUGAUAGUGGAUCACAUUAUUCAUAAACUCUAUCACUCACAAUGAUGCUUACUAUGAUGUGUAUUUAACUGAUCUUCUGGUCUUUGCCUUGAUUCAAACCCCACCUCAUGUGCUUCCAUCUAAACAAGAAUAUGUGUAGUCACAGAUCUGCCCCCAAUCAAUCAUGUUGAGCUACUACUAUUUCGCCUACUCCUAGAACAAAAUUACGCUAUUCAUAUGAAUUGAGAUUUUAGAGGCAACUGAUAGUAUAUGCUGCUAAUGCUCCUUCUUAGCUAAUCAUGUUGCUGAACAUUGUUUGAAUCAAGUAGCAAUACGGGUAUUCAAUCAUCAAAAUUCAAUAUGGGUAUUCAAUCAUCAAAAUUCAUCAAUGUCCACUCAUCACAAUACAGGUUCAUGUCUCAAUGGAGUAUUAUGGGAGAAUCAACAUUUCAAAUGGACAAGUUGCUGCAGACAAAACCAACGUCGUUGACGCUAGAAUAUUGGAUUAUGGAUCUGUUUUUCUACCCUCCCAGGUUGGUAGCUCUGGCAAGACUACGAAGGCAUUGUCGCCGAGCUCUUGCUUUCACGAGGAUUUGCUGAUAUCACAAGACACCGGGACUAGAGGAGAGGUCAUUAUGGAGGUAGCUCUGUCAAGACUACGAAGCCAAUGUCGCCGAGCUCUUGCUUUCACCAGGAUUUGCUGAUAUCACACACCACUAUGAUUCACUCUUGGCGGCCUAUUCACAAUAUGUUGUUGGACUUUUUACUGAUGAGACAAACUCUUUAUUUAGGAUGAGCAUUAUAUUGUGAAGUUUAA